rnacentral:tRNA from 1 species
GCCAGAGUGGCGGAAUUGGCAGACGCGCUGGAUUCAAAAUCCAGUGCCCGCAAGGGUGUGUGGGUUCGAGUCCCACCUCUGGUA